UACGGAGGGAGCAAGCGUUACUCGGAAUUAUUGGGCGUAAAGGGCGCGUAGGCGGCCCGGUAAGUCAAAGGUGAAAUCCCUCGGCUCAACUGAGGAACUGCCUUUGAAACUGUCGGGCUCGAGGCCGGGAGGGGGUAGCGGAAUUCCCAGUGUAGCGGUGAAAUGCGUAGAUAUUGGGAGGAACACCGGUGGCGAAGGCGGCUACCUGGACCGGUUCUGACGCUGAUGCGCGAAAGCGUGGGUAGCAAACAGG
rnacentral:rRNA from 1 species